rnacentral:lncRNA from 1 species
UAAUCACUUUGUCUGCCUGAGCUAGAUCCUUGCUCUUGCUCCCUCUCUUCCCUCUGCUCCCUCUUCUCAUGCCGGUGUCUUCUCUCAUCACCACUCUGCCUACGUGACUCUGAGCUAGAGCCUUGCUCUUGUUCUCUCUCUUCCCUUCUUCUUUGAGGUCGUUGUCUCCUUGCUUGCCCCUCUUCCUCUUCUUCUCCUUUUUCUUCUUCCUCAUGUCUUCUUCCAUACUGAGGUUGUUGUUCUUGCUCCCUCUCCCUGUCAUGUUCUUUCCUUCGUUCACGCUCUUCCUCUUGGCUUUGUUUGCUCUCACUCCUACCACGUGAAGGCUCACGAUCACGCUCCUUCUCUCUCCUAUGCUCUCUUUCUUGUUCCUCCUGCUGGCGAGAACGUGGUGGUUGUCUUGGAUCACGCUCCUCCUCUUGUCUUUCCUCAGGCCUCUCAGGAUUCUUAAUCACAUCUUUCUCUCCAUAAGCAAUACCAAUUGACACUGCCAAGAGGAAUACUACUCCUAGUAGCAACACCAACAUUGGGAAUCUCACUCUCAUCUUAGCCAUUUUUAAUUAUAUUAGAUUGCACUCAAUGAUGAAAAUGGGGACUAAGAUCAGUCAUAUUUAUAGAUCAUCUUCUUAAGAAUUGGUGCCAUGCAUGUUGACGAGUGUUGAAAUUGACAAAUAUGAGGUGUCCAUUGCAUGCCAUUUAUCUACAUAGCUCUUUUUGGAUAUACAUGGACGGGGCAAUCAUGUAUGUAUAUGCUUAUUGCUUCCUCAUACAUGUUCAUUGUUUUUUUCCCAUCAAUUUCAUGAACUAGGACUUUAUUCUGGAAGGGAUACAUUAUAUUGUCUCUUUCAUUUCGUAUUUCGUUUUUCCUCAAUCACCAUGGUUGGUUGAAUAUAAAUUAUUAUGGUAGAAAGAUACUAAAAUCACUGAGAGUUUUAAAUAAUAAUAAUAAUAAUAAUAAUAAUAAUAAUAAUAAUAAUAAUAAUAAUAUAAGUCAGGCACACAUACAAAAGAAGUUGUUUUGGCUUGGUCAAGCAUGCUUAGCAAAUUAGAUAAAAGUAUAUAUGAAGAAGUGUGUAUAGGAGGAGAAGGAUUUUUAAAGAAGCUAGAACUUUAAAGUUUAUUUGAAUAAAUGUUUCGUUAUUUUCAAACCACACACUUCCCAGUUUCAAUAUUGACUUAAUUGUUAUGUAGAUUUUGCUUCCUUCUUACUGUUGGACAUAAGAAUUUUAUUAACUUUUUAAUCCACAACUUUACAAAAUAGAUAUAUUAGCAAUAAACUAAAUAAUAUUUUAAUAACCAAAUUAAGUCAAAUUGGAAAAAUUCUUUACUUAAGAAGAGAAGUUAGACUACUCUACCACAUAAGAAGCUUUCUACCCUUCAACAAUUGCAUAGAUAUUCUCAUUUUGAUAUUGAAGAUAAAUAGUCUCUUUAAUAACAGGUGAAGAAACUUUUAAUAUUAUUUCUGGUAUAAUUAAUAAUAUCUCAUUAUCUUAUAAAUAAAGAACUAAUCUCAUACUUAGUUUCAUAUACGAAUGAACCAUAUAAAACAUUUCUAUUUUUUUUGGAUCAUCAUGUGAAGCCAUUUAUGAUUAUUAUGAGAUAAUCCAAAUUCCAUGCAUGAUGAAGAAUGUCACUACCUCAGCAACACACCUUCAUUACGUGUCUCUCAUUCACUCUCCAUUCUUCCCUAUAACUGCUCACGGCUUAGAUUCUCCACUUCACCACCUUCACUUAACUAGUGGUCCCAUAACAAUUUCAAAUCUAGCCUUUCUAAUUUAUUUUCCCCUUUGAUAAAACUGGAAAAUUAUUUUUGUAUAGGAUGAAGGGUUAAUUUAGAUUUUGAAUAAAUACUCAUUUCAGUUCCUCUUGUUUUUUGACUUUAUUAGUUUGAUUAUCCAAAAAUUGAAAAAAUCAAAAUGCUCCUAAAUUUUUUUAAAUACGAAUCAAAUUAUCUAUUUUUAGCAUGUUGUACGACAUUUGGUACAGACUAAUGUGACCCUAAAAACUAAUUUGGCACACACUUAAAAUUUUAUGAAUUAUUUUGGGUUUUCAUUUUUUUAGGGACAAAAAUAGUAAAGUCAAAAAAUAUGAGUGACUGAAAUGAAUAUUUACUAUUACAUUUUUAAUCAAUGUGCUACACUUCAGAAUUAUUUCUAAAUUUUUUUAUGAUGCAAAUAGAAUAAAAUAGCAAACAAUAUAUAUGUAACGACACACAUACUUAUUAAGUGAGACAAACGGGGGAUGAUGCUUGAUAAAAACUGGAUCUAUAUAAUAUUUGAUAUAGAUUAAGCAUUCUUAUAACUCAAUCUGUUUAUUUAUAAGAAUUCUGAGCGGAAACUUCCCAACACAAUAGAAUAUCUGAGUUGAGUUGUGACUAUGAUAGUCAUAUUGAGACACGUUAUGAUGAGUGCAAUUAUAAAAAUGGAAAGAUGCUAGGAAUAAGAUGCAUAUAAUUUUAAUUUAUAAUGAUAGAAGUCUAAACCAUCUAGAAAAUCCUUUUGAUUAUGAGAGGGAAAGACCCUUUGAAGAAAACAAUGAUUUUUUGUGAUGAAAAAGAACUUGAUGGCAUGCAACUUAUGGAGAUGACAAUAAUUCAUGUCAUGCCAAGUUAAGGAAAUAGGACUUGCAAGAGAAAAGCUUAGAUAUAUUACUCUAUGUGGUGUGCCUUUGCUUCCGAGCAAAGCUCACGAGGGCACUAAUAUUAUUCCAAGCAGAUUCUUGAAAUCUAAAGAUUAACAAGGUCAAUGAUGUAUUUGACAUGUUAUAAAAGAUUAUGAUAUGGAGGAUUGAAAAUAACAUUGAUGGAGUCAUUGAUGGAUAUUUUAAUUUCGAGAAUGUUAGUUUCUAUUUGGAUAUAUUAAUUUUUAAUUUACAACCUCAAAUAUACUUUUCAUAACUAGUAAGAUAAAUAUGUAUGUGUUAGCAAAUUUUGAAAUAUUAAUUUUUCACAAUUAAAGUCAAUCCUCUCAAAUUUUGACUCAUCAAGACUUUGUACUAUAUAUACAUUUUAAAAGUGAUGUCCAAAAAAUAAAGUGUGAGAUUAUAAUAAUUGAUCAUAACAAGCAAUUUCAAAUCAUACCCUACAAUCAUAUUUAUUAUUUCAAAAUCGAUUAUUGAUUUGUGGCAUAUUAUGAUACUUCUAAUGGAUAGUGAUAUUCUAAGAGUAUGUAGAAUUUCUCCUGCAUAGUGAUAUACUGAUAUUCCCACUGCUCAAUAACAUUUUUGUCCUUAUUGUAAAUUCAUUAACCUAAGGAUUCUUAUAAAUUCAUCUUCAUUCAAUUCAUAUUUUCAAUUCUUCUUUACUUAACAAUAGUUCCACGUUUUCAUUAAUGAGAACAUAUGUUUAAAUCAUCUUUAAAAAUCUUUCUCCAAAAGACAAUUCACAAUUACUCACAUUAUCUGCAAAGAUUUAAUCGAUUAACUGUAACUUUAAUCGAUUAAUUGUUUUCUUAAAAUACUUAAUUAAUAUUUCAUGAACCUCUAAUAUGAUUAACUAAUACAUGAUGCAUGAUUUUGAAAUGAUAUAAGUUCAACUUAGUUUAAUGCAUCAAAAUCAUGUAUGAAUGCUAAUGUACUUAAAUCAUGUAUGACUGAAUAUCUCAUAUGCAUCAUAUUCAUCAUUCUAAUAUGUGAGAUUUAUCAUUAGGUUCUUCCAACUUAGGCGUAUUAGGACCUAAAGAAAUAAAAAUUUACUCUUUAGUGUUUAUUGAUUUUCUUGAAGCUUGAACUUGAGUCUUCAUGUUGUUGUUGUUGAUUUUUCCUUGUCCAUAGUUUGUCUUUACCAAUCCUUAAAUUUUUUCUUAUUCAAAAUCAUGUCAUGCAGAAAGUAGACAUUUAACAACAUUCAUUUGAGUGAGUGUAGUUAAAUAUCCAAUUUCUACAAUGCUAAUUCAAGCAAUUGUUAAUGGAGCUACCAAUAGUAUUAUUUAAUAUAAUAUUAUUAACUACUUAUAUAUAAAUCAAAGACAUCUAAAAUCAUACAUACCAACGACAAAUAUAUAUCCAAAACUAUUAUAUUAGUUAUAUAUCCGCGUGACAAUACCAAAAUAUUGUCUCUUUACAACCCAAAAGUGACAUGUGUGCCAAUGUUUUGGUAAGGGUUCUAUAAUUCUAAACAAAUAGAAUUAAAAUUAAGUUAUACAUAAAUCCAACAACACCUACUUAAACUAUUUUUCAAUUCUUUGAUCGAUUGAGACUUGAUUUAUCCUCGUUUGGAAUAAAAUAUAGAUUCAUCUAAAUCCCCUUAUCAUGAUCAACAAUCCUAUAUAAACCAUCAUUUGUAGUUGGAACACUCUAAUGUGAUUGUGAUAUUCCCAAGAAAGAAUCAUCUUACGCAUCAAUAUAUUUGUGAUCUUGGUCAUCAUUAUUAUUGAUGGUUAUUUUUUAGUCAAAAGAACAAUGGACUAUUUUGUAUCAGUCGGGUCAGCGACAUAGAAUACUUAUCGAGCUUAUGAUUCUAGAAUAAAAUGCUCGUCUUUAUAUCCUGACAUAUUAAGAUUCACCUGUAUGAAUCCUAAUCCACCAACCUGAAAGUUGUUGUUGUUAUCAACCCACAUAUAACCAAAAUAAGACACCCAAAACGUUGUGUAAUCUAAUUCUAAUCUAUGUUCAAAGACCCCAAAGUAUACUAUGUCUUCCAUAUGUGUUCUCUCUGUUCAUACCUCCUCUCCCUUGUGUGUUGUUGCUUAAUGUCCUAUUCAUGCCUUCCACAUAACCUACUUCAUUGGAGUUAAAGAGAAUUUUGGUGUUCAUACUUGUUGGACCAGACUGCGACCGGAGUUCCAUUGUUACAGGGAUAUGUGAAGAGUGGAAAGUCACAAGUGAGACACCAUGUCUUGAACCAAAAACUUAAGGUAUUAGUUCCAUGGGCCUUUUCUACUUAUAAAGUCUUUCACUCCUCCCCGCAUAUCCAAUAUGGGACUUCACACUUGAAUAUGUUGGAGAAUAUCUCCAUCCGAAAUCCAUAGAUUAAACGCCAAAGUCCUUAUGACCAUGGCUUUGUUCCCAUAACCUAAUGUUUAUGCCCAUACAUAAACCCAAAUGGAACAACCAUGGUCCAGACCGAAGAAACACCAAAUGAGUUCAUGGUGAAGAUGAAGAACAUACCUUGUUGAGCCAUUUCCGGAAUCUCGAAGGUAUGAGGGUGCGAUGAUCUUCCAGAUGUUAGAGCCUGAAUGGUUUUUCCUUAUUCUUCUCUAGAGGGGAAUGAGAAAACCAAAAGCUUGAGAGUUUGUGUUGUGUUAGGAGAGGAGCCUUAUGGUUACCUUAUGUUAUAUAUGCCUAAUGGAUGAGUUGAUAGUGUUAUAUCCUUUUGGAUAACACUAUCCUCAUCCUACCUUAUUCUCCACAACUUUACACCUGAAAACCUGUUGCUCUACAAAUGGGGACCAUAACCCAUAAAAGUAACCCCAUAGUGGUUACUACUUAAGUUGCAAUAAUUUUGAUUCAGUCCCUUCAUCAAAUCAGAAAUUGCCUGAAGGUAUCUACACUUAUUAUUAUUUCAUGACACAUAUGCCCUUAGCCACCAAAUCAAUAACUGAAGAUCAUUUUAUAUUUUGACUAAUUACAAAACGACCAUAACAUAAUUACAUAAUUAUAUUUGUGACAUAAAUUGUCAGAAAUUCUACCAAUCUCCCACUGGUCACACAUAUGAUUCUCUGUACGUGUUAUCCUUAUUGCGCGCUUAAAUAUUGCCAUUUUGACUUAGGCAUACCCAAAUUAUCCCGUCCGUUAGUCCUGUCUCCAUAUCGAAUCACAGUGAACUUCGCCAUAUUAAUCAUGACUAAUUCAACAAUGAUCACCAACAUUGACACAACCAAAUGACACAGAUACAUCAUGAAAUGUGUAGCAUGAAAAUUACAUGAAUAUGAUCUGUACAUGUCAAUUUUCAACUGGUCCUACUUAACUUUAGUGAGAUCCUUAAUAAUAACAUAAAACCUUAUUGUACAAAGUAUAAUGACAGAAUACCAAACUGAAUGAUUAAUCAACUGAAGUUUGAAUACAAAGUAUUCAUACAAAAUACUGAAAUUACAUAGAACAUAACAAAAUGUGUGCACUUUCUAACUCCCACUAAACCAAAAUAUCCUCACACUGUAGAACACCCAUGUGAGCAGCAUGCUCAUGAAAGACCUUGGGUGUGAUAGCUUUUGUGAGAGGAUCCGCAAUCAUGGAGUUAGUGCCUAAGUGUUCUAUGGAAAUUUGUCCACUUUGUACCUUCUCCUUACAACUAGGAACUUAAUGUCGAUGUGUUUCGACUUUGCCGAACUCCUAUUAUUGUUUGAGAACAACACAGCUGAUUUAUUGUCACAGUAUAACAAUAGUGGUCUUUCAAUCCUUUCCACAAUUCGUAGCCCAGUGACAAAAUUUCUCAGCNNNNNNNNNNNNNNNNNNNNNNNNNNNNNNNNNNNNNNNNNNNNNNNNNNNNNNNNNNNNNNNNNNNNNNNNNNNNNNNNNNNNNNNNNNNNNNNNNNNNUAGCAACUGGAGUAUCCAUUGCUUUACAGUCCUGCAUGUCAUAUAUUUUGAGUACUUUUUCUAUAUAGCUCUUUUGUGAUAAUCCAAGAAUACCCCGAGAUCUAUCUCGGUGAAUAUGAAUUCCUAAUACAAAAGAAGCUUCACCAAGAUCCUUUAUUUCAAAAUUACUAGAUAGAAAUGUAUUGGUUUCUAACAAGGUACCCAUAUCAUUAGUGGCAAGCAGUAUGUCAUCCACAUACAAGAGCAAAAAAAUAUACUUGCUCCCACUGAACUUGUGAUACACACAAUCUUCGACUGAAUUCAUCUCAAAACCAAAGGAGAGAAUCACCUCAUGAAAUUUGUGGUACCACUGACGAGACGCCUGUUUCAUCCCAUAGAUGGAUUUUGUCAAUUUGCAUACCAUAUCCUUUCGGUCUCCCGUUACAAAGCACCAUAUAAAUCUUUUCAUUAAUGUUUCCAUUUAGAAAAUCUGUUUUGACAUCCAUCUGAUGAAGCUCCAAAUCAUAAUGUGCCACAAGAGCCAUGAUUGUCCUAAGAGAGUCUUUCAAUGAAACUGGAGAUACAGUCUCUUUAUAGUCAAUCCCUUCCUUCUGAGUAAAACCCUUAGCUACAAGACGCGCCUUAUACCUCUCCACAUUACCAUUAGAAUCCCGCUUGGUCUUAAAAAUCCAUUUGCAACCAAUGGGUUUCUUACCUUCUGGUAAUGGGACAAGUUCCCAAACUUUAUUGUCUUGCAUGGAUUUAUACUCCUCUUUCAUUGCUUCAAUCCACUUUUCCGAAUUGGAACUUUGGAUGGCUUCACGAACGUUUAAUGGAUCAUUGUCCAUUAAGCCAUCACCCUCAUGUUCCAGGAGAAAGCAAAUGUAAUCAUCCGGAAUUGCAUUUCUCCUUUCUCUAGUUUCCAUUAAGCCAUCACCCUCAUGUUCUAGGAGAAAGCAAAUAUAGUCAUCCGAAAUUGCAUUUCUCCUUUCUCUAGUGGAUCUACGCAAAGCUAUAGGCUCUUGCACCUCUUGUCCAUGUUCCUGAGGGUUUUGAGUUUGUCCUUCAUGAAUUACUAACUCACCUUGAGCAGGGAAGGUUUCAUCAGUUAUGUCUUGAGGAGGUUCCAAAUUUGCUUCAUCAAAAUCAACCAUAUGAGUCGCAUCUGGAAUAGAUACGGAUUCUUCCUCUAAGACAAAGUUUCUAACCUUAUCUUCCCCCUCAAACUCAAUAUCCUCAAAGAACGUGGCUGAACCCGUCUUAAAUAUGGAUUUCAUACUUUGGUCAUAAAAUUUAUAGCCCCUUGAUUUUUCAGAGUAACCAAUAAAGUAACUGCUUACUGUACGGGAGUCCAAUUUCUUUUCAUAAGGCCUAUAAGGCCUUGCCUCAGCUGGACAUCCCCACACAUGAAAAUGCUUCAGACUUGGCUUUCGCCCAGUCCAAUGCUCAUAAGGUGUUUUAGCAGUUGCCUUAGUUGGUACCCUAUUAAGAAUAUAAGCUGCUGUCUUAAGUGCCUCUCCCUCCCAGAGUGACUCUAGAAAAGUAGAGUGACAAAUCAUACUCCUUACCAUAUCCUUAAGAGUUCGGUUUCGUCUUUCAGACACACCAUUCAUGCUAGGCGAUCCUACCAUGGUGUACUGUGGGACUAUACCACAUUCCUCCAGGUAUUUGGCAAAAGGCCAUGGACGUUGUUCGCCUGAACCGUCAUAUCUACCAUAGUAUUCACCACCACGGUCAGAUCUGACACACUUAAUCAUUUUGCUGAGUUGGUUUUCAACUUCAGCCUCAAAAGUUUUGAACACGUCCAAUGAUUGGGACUUUUCAUGAAUUAGAAAAUUGUAUGCAUAACAAGAAUAAUCGUCUAUGAAUGAUAUGAAGUAUCGUUUACCAUUCCAAGAAGCCGUAGGGAAUGGCCCACAAAUAUUCGUAUGUAUCAAUUCUAAGACGUCUGAAGCUCUAUAUGCAUCAUAUUUCGAUUGUUUGGUCUCUUUUCCUUUUAUGCAUUUAACACAAACACUGAGGUUUGUGAAGUCAAUGGAAUCCAAAAUCCCAUCUGACACAAGAUGCUCAAUUCUCUUUUGACAAAUGUGACCUAGGUGCUUGUGCCAUAAUGCACCUGAAUUAUUAUUUUCAAUUUUAUGCUUAGUACCCUGGUUGCAUAUGCAUUGGCUAUACCAGCUUUAACAUUUUGUCUUUCGAACGAAGAGAUUUUCAAUAUAUGCUGCUUAUUGCUGUCAUAUCCAUUUAAAUAGCAUGUAGUUUAAUUGAUGCUAACAUAUUUCCAUAGUAUUGUAUGGUUGUUUUCUUUUCUCAAACUUCAAGCAUACCUCGGAAAUGUGAGUUUCAUUAAUUUCAUAGUUCCAAUAGACACUUCAAUAUGGAAAUGUGAGUUUCUAGAGUUAAAACUUAAAUAAUUGAGUGGGGAUCGUCUCCAGUACUGGAGAGUUUAGUAUUGGAUGGGAUUAAGAUAUGUGGCAAAAAAAAUCUUUUAAUGGAUAUGAUUAUAUGUUAUUUUGUAAUACAAAAUAAAUAAGAAACCUUUAAAAAAAUUGUAUCCUCAUAUUCCAGUACUGAUCUCUCCAGUACUACUCUCACCCGUACCAUUUUUCAUUGUUUCAUUUACACUUAAAACAUAAACUAUACCCCUCACAUAUUUCAAUUGUUUUUAAAUAAAUAAAACAAAUGGAUACAGAUUUUUGAGAAAGUUGAUGACAGAAGUACAACAUUUUAUUGUAAAGGAAAAAUAAAAAUUUGUAAAUAAUUAUUUGCUAAAAGAGAAAAGGUGUAUGUAUGUAAGAGAUUUUUACACUAUCAUUGCAUCAUCUAUCAUUUAUUUUGUUAGGGUGAUACCCUAACAGUGAAGAAUUCUAAUAUACUAAAGGAAAACUAAGAACGAUAAAAAAGAGUUAAUUUUUAUUGAUGCCCUUUGAAUGAGGGUUAGCAUUACUUGAAAUAUAAUCUUAAUCCAGUUAUUUGGAAAUUAAAUCUAAAAAUAACAAAAUAUAAUCUUAUCAUAAUCUUCUCCUAAUUACAUAAGAUAAUCUUUAAAUUUAGGAGGUAGUUUUAUAUCUGUCUUGGGUCUUCCUGUGAUACUGGACUCAGAGUGAGAUCUAGGCGGUCCAACACAUUUUUAGGUAUGAAUAUUUUGUUUGUAUAGUAGAGCAGAAAGUUGGUAAAAUGAAAGUGUGGUUGUGGUUGUUGUUGUAGUUUACCAUUCAUGAACAUGGUAAUUAAUUUUUGUCUGUCUUGUGUGUUGUAGAAUUUUCAGAGAUCAUCUAGAAACAGAGGUAUUAGUGAAGUGAUGCUGAACAAAAGUGCUUCAUCAGGUGUAUGACAUCUGGAUAGUCCAUCCACAGCUCUAUUCUCCUUCUCAGGACGGUAAAAUAUCUCAUACUCAAAGCCUUGUAACUUGGUUGCCCAUUUUUGCUGCUCUAGAGUCUGAAAUGUUUGAGUCAUCAAAUGUUUUAGGCUUUGUUGAUCAGUAAAAAUUCUAAAGGGUCUGCCUAUUAAAUAUUGUCUCCAUUUUUUAACAGCUUUUGUUACUGCAUACAUUUCUCUAACGUAUGUUGAUGUUGCUUGCAUGUGUGCAGAUAUCUUUUUUCUGAAGUAUGUUAUUGGGUGACCUUAUCGAGAUAAAACAGCAUGAAUGGUGAUCCCUAAAGCGUCUAUUUCAACAUCAAAAGUCAUAGUGAAGUUUGGUAGAGCUAGUACUGGAGCAUUUGUCAUUAUGUGUUUUAAAUUUUCGAAUGUCUAUUGGGUUGAUGUACUCCAUGUAUAACUUCCUAUCUUUAGUAAAUCUGUCAAAGGAGCGGCAUGUGAGGCAUAUUGUUUGAUAAACCAUCGAUAAAACCCGGUGAGGCCAAGGAAAACCUUUAAGGCCGUGAUCGACUUUGGUGUUGGCCAUUCAACAAUGGCUUGAAUUUUUUCUGGGUCUGGUUGUACAUCGUCACUUGAUAAUAUAUGUCCUAGAUAAUCCAUGCUAUGCACGCCAAAAACACAUUUAGAUCAUUUUGCAAAAAAUUUAUGCUCCCUUAAUAAGGCUAAAAUUAACCUUAAGUGUGUUAGAUGUUCAGUCAAGGUCUUGUUGUAGAUUAAUAUAUCAUCAAAAAAUACGAGAACAAAUUUUCGAAGAUAUGGUCGUAAUAAAUCAUUCAUGGCAGCUUGGAAUGUUGAUGGCCCAUUAGUGAGGCCAAAGGGCAUUACCAGGAACUCAUAAUGCCCGUCUACUGUCCGAAAUGUUGUUUUGUGAGUGUCGGCAGGGUCCAAUCUAAUUUGAUAGUAUCCAGAUCUUAAAUCAAUUUUUGAGAAAAUAUGAACAGUUGCUAAUUCAUCUAGGAGCUCAUCAAUAGUAGGAAUUGGAAACCGAUUUUUAACAGUAAUUGCAUUCAAAUUGCGGUAAUCCAUACAAAAACGUCAUGUUCCAUCUGUAUUUAAAUCUAGUAAAACUGGGGAUGAAAACGGGCUAGUACUUGGUACUAUUAUGCCAACUUGUAACAUUUCUGAUAAUAGAGUUGACAUUGCUUCCUUUUGGGAGUGGGGAUAUCGGUAAGGUUUAACAUUAACUGGGGAUGAGUUGGGUAUGAGGACAAUUUUAUGAUCAUGUGGUCUUUGUGGUGGUAAUCCUUUUGGGGUACUGAAGAUUGACUCAAACUCCUUUAGUAUGGGUUGGAUAGCUUUAUUGUGGGUAUUGUUUAGGUCUGUUAAGGCUAGAUAGGUUGUCUGUGUUGUUGAUGAUUGUGUUUGGGUGGGUGCGACUGUGACACAGAAUAUGUCUGCAAUAGCAUCUGUAUGUAUUAGUCUUUUGAGUUGGUGGAAGGUGGAUAAUGUUGGUGAAGGUGAGUGUUGUCCGGUUAAGGUGAUGGGUUUAUUGUCAUAUGUGAAUGUCAUAGAGGGAAUGGCAAAAUCUGAACUGACUGGUCCUAGAGUAUUUAACCAUUCAAUCCCUAAUACCACAUCAUCUUCUUGUAUUGGCAAAAGAUAAAAUGGAAUGUGAAAUAGCUGUUGUUGUAGGUUGAUAGGAGUUUCUUUACCUAAUGCAGCACAAUAAAUAUUCUCACCAUUACCUACCAUGACUGUAAACUUUGGGGUUGAGCAGAUAGGUAGCUGUAAAAAUUGUGCAACUCGGGGUUGCAUAACAUUGUGUGAACUACCUGUAUCUACUAACACAGGCACUGUAUGUCCAAAAAUUUGGCCUUCAAAUUUAAGAGUCUUUGGAGAUGGGUUACCUUGUAGAGCGUGAUCAGAUAAGUGGAAGUGAAUAAUUUCUUAUUGGUCUAUGUUAUGAGAUAUGCAUUCUGCAUCCAACAUUAGUAAAUGAGGGUCAUUAGCAAUUAGACCCUCACUACCUUCCUCACUCAACAUCAAGAGGAAUUGCUUUGGUUGGCAACAGUGUCCUGGAACGAAAUUUUCAUCGCAAUUAUAACAUAGUCCAUGGGAGCGUGUGAUGUAGUUUUACUAACAUCAUUAAGUCCAGCAGUCUUGGGACUGGUUAUUGUAGUUGUUUGGGAGCGCCAUGAACGAUUUGAUGUGGCCUUUGCUGCAGCGAUUUUACUUUCCACCAAUUUUGCCAACCCAAUUGCAUGAAUCGCUGAAAAGGGUUGUUGAAUUGCUAGUUCGUGUCCAAUCUCUGGAUGAAGUCCACAUAAGAAACAGUUGAGCAGCAUUUCAGGAGUCAUUCCGACUUAGAUUUGAGAGACGUUCAAAUCUAGUUUGGUAAUCUGUGACUGCAGUAGUUUGUUUUAAUUUAAAUAGUUCAGCUUGAGGAUUUUCAAAUGUAGAUGGUCCAAAACGUAUAACUAGAGCUUUUGUAAAGCCUUCCCAACUUGUUAAUUGGUUGGUCUGAAACAUCCACUUAUACCAACUUAAGGCAUUUCCUUUCGUUGAGAAUGCUACGAGUUCAAGGCGUUGUUGAAAGGGAGUGACUUGAUAUAAGUUGAAAUAUUGUUCUGCUCGGAAUAACCAAUCUUGUGGUUUUGUACCAUCAAAUGGUUGUAGUUGUAAUUUCGGAGGCUUUAUAUUUCCUGGUGGUGGAAACAGUCCACAACUAUAUGGAGUUGCUGGUGAUCUUGGUUGGGAGCCAUAUGGUGACGGUGGUGUUGGUUGAAAGUCAUAUGGUGGUAGUGGUGGUGUUUGUGUUGUGUUUGUGGUUAACCUUGCGAUCUUUUCCACUAACCCAUUAAGGGUGCUUUCCAUGCGGGCUUCCAUGGACGCCUGGAAUAGAUCUUGUCGUUCAUUCAUGUUUUGUUGCAUAGCAACCAAUUUUUCUAGAACCAUCGCAUUGGAAGUGUCCUCCAUGGUAGAGUGUGUGGAUGAAGAAGAUGAAGUAGGUUUAUGAGGCAUGAAAACAGCAAUAAAAGUACCAAUGUUAGGGUGAUACCCUAGCAGUGAAGAAUUCUAAUAUACUAAAGGAAAACUAAGAAUGAUAAAAAAGAAGUAAUUUUUAUUGAUGCCCUUUGAAUGAGGGUUAUCAUUACUUAAAUAGUACUUGAAAUCUAAUCUAUUGAUUGUUGAAAUAUAAUCUUAAUCCAGUUAUUUGGAAAUUAAAUCUAAAAAUAACAAAAUAUAAUCUUAUCAUAAUCUUCUCCUAAUUACAUAAGAUAAUCUUUAAAUUUAGGAGGUAGUUUUAUAUCUCUUGGGCCUUCCUGUGAUACUGGACUCAGAGUGAAAUCCAGGCGGUCCAACAUAUUUUUAAUCAUCAUUAACUUUUAAAUAAAAGUAAUACCAAUGAAUGGUAAAUAAUACAUUGAUUGUGUAUAAAUCCUAAAAAUGUUUCAAUUUUAUGAAUUAUUAUCAUUAGAGAGCAAAACUUUGAAAGUAACACACUUAGUAACAUCAAUCAUUUAGCAAGCAAUUUAAAAAAAACACAGUAAUAGUAAAACAAUUUAAUAAUGUGUCUUUUUAUCUUUCUAUUUGAAAGGGGAACAUAUAUAAUCAAGUGAAACUUAAACAAUAUAUAUAACAAAUCAACUAAUCAUCAUCUGGAAUGACAAAUACAAAUGAAAAGCUAAUCGUGCUAUUCAGUGGCGGAUCUUGAACAAAAUUUUAGAGGUCAAUAAUAUUUAAUUACAAUUAAUUAAAUAAAAAGAAAAACUUUCAAACUUAAAUGGCUAACAAUACCAAAAAUAAAAUAUUGUCAUUGACAUAUUAACCUAAUCUUAUUACUCAUUGAAAGUCACACGAUAGAAAUUUUGGACAAAAUAUAUAUAUAUAUAUAUUAUCAAUGCAUACAUAAUCUCUUUCAUCAAGUGUAAAAUCAUUUUGAAGUCAUAUUAUUAUGAGCAGCCACCAACAUCAAAACAUGCAAGAGAACUUAAUUCAUUAUAUAUAAUUUUUUGAAUGACUACACAAGUUGCACUAUAUUUAUUUAUCUAGCCACAAAUUAANNNNNNNNNNNNNNNNNNNNNNNNNNNNNNNNNNNNNNNNNNNNNNNNNNNNNNNNNNNNNNNNNNNNNNNNNNNNNNNNNNNNNNNNNNNNNNNNNNNNGGGUGCUAAUACAUUCCCUACCUUGUAACCGACUCCUGAACCUGGAUAUCAAAAAUCCAAAAGCCCAAGGUAAUUGGGCUUAAAAGAUUUUUAUACAUUUUUAACUAUAAAAUGUAGUGGCGACUCUAAACAAAGUCGUGCAGCCGAAAAUCGGGGCGCGACAGCUGGCGACUCUGCUGGGGAAUUUUUUGAGAGAGUCUGACCCAUAAUCAAUAAAAUGUGUGACUGUUUAUUUACCAUAUUAUUAUUAUUAUUUUAUUUGGUUGAUUAGUUAAUUUCCAGUAAAAGGGCAUACUUAAUUAGUAGUUGUAUGUAUAAAUAUGUUACAUGCUUAAUUAGUAAUUAUAUAUUGCGUAUAUGAAUUAUAUGUGUAUGUCUGUAUUGUUUUUAUUAUUGUGUGAUAUAUAAUGUACACAUUUUAGGCACACAUAUAUGCCCUACACCCGGGUAUUAGUGAUACAUUUUUUGGAUAGAAGGGACACUAGCCUCGCUGGUCGCGGUUUUUGCCGCUUCUAAGUGUUGGUGAUGUGGACCACUCAUAUUGUUACCUAUCAUAUUGUUACCUCUUAUUAUGAGUUUGCCGCUCGAGCUGGUCUCCUGUGUCUAACAUCAUAAUAGUCAGGCUUCUCUAUUUGAGAGAGAUGCAAUAUGGGAACUUUUAUAGGGAGUCUAGAACUUGUCAAGGGCGUCCAUUGUAUAUUAGAACAUUAUCCUAGGACGUUGUACUUGUUUGUGAAUUUUGUGAUAUGUGUAAUGUUUGUAUUGUAACACAUUGUUUGGAAUUUUGUCGUAUAAAAUAAAAAUCAUGUAAAAUAUCGCCCCCUUGAGGAGAAUUCAUAAAAAAUACAUGCUCAAACAUUCAUUCAUUUAUCCAUUUAUUUAUGCGUUCAAAAAAUAAAAUAUUUAUUGAUUGACUUAUGCAUUCAAAAAUAAAAUUCUUCAUUGAUUGAUUUAUACGUUCAAAAAGAAAUUUUUUAUUAAUUGACUUAUACGUACAUUCAUACAUGCAUAUAUAUAUAUAUAUAUAUAUGAAAAUUCAUCAUCUACUACUUAUGCAUGCAUUUAUUCAUUCAUCAAAAUACAUAUAUAAGAAAAACAUACAUUCAAAAAUUUAAUUCCAUCCAUGCAUAUGCUAACUAGAAAAAACUAUCAUUGACAAUAAUUCAUUCAUACAUGCAUACAUAUAUGUAUUUUAACAAAAAAAAUAAAAAAUUAAAUCAUUCAUACACUCUCUAAUUAUUUCACAUAUUCAUCCAUUCACUCAUGCAUCAAAAAAAAAAUAAUUUAUACAUUCAUUCAUGUAAAAACAAUAUACAAAUAACUCAAACUUUUAUUCCCUCGUCGACUCAUUACUCAUUCAUGCAUUCAAAAUAAAUAAAAAAGAAAAUACAUCAUUUAAAUACUCAUUUACUUAUACUUUCAUAUAUUCAUUAAAAAUAAUAUAUUAAUCAUACAUUCAUUCAUUCAUGCAAUCAAAAAGAAGAAAUCAUUCAUUCAUUCAAUCAUACAUUCAAAAAUAAAUAAAAAAUUGAUUGACUUAUUUAUUCGUUCAUCACAUAAAAAAGAAAUCUUCAUUAAGUCGCUUAUGCAUUUAUUCGUUCAUUCAAUUAUUAAUGCAUACAUCAUUCAUACACUCUUCUACUUGUUCAUGCAUACAUGCAUUUUAAAAAUAAUAAAUAAAUAAAUUAUAUAUUCAUUCAUACACUCAUUUUAAAAAAAAUACAAUGAUCAUACAUUCGUCUAAUUUUAUUCGUUCACCCAAUCAUUCUAAAAAAAAAGAAGUUGUUAUUCAUGUAUUCAGAAAGAAAAGAAAUCAUUCAUUGGCAAGCAUUCAUUCAUGCAUAAAAAAUAUUAAGCAUUCAUUCACUAAUGUAUACAUGCAAUUUAAAAAAUAAACACAUUACCCACACAUACAUUCACUGAUGCAUACAUUCAUCAAAAAAUAAUAAAUAAAUAAAUGACACAUUCAUUCAUACAUUCAUCAAAAAAUGAAAAUAAACUAUUCAAAAAGAAAAUAUCCAUUCAUUAAUUCAUGAAAAAUACAUCAUUCAUACACAUAUUUAUUCAUACAUUCAUUCAUAAAAAAAACUUCAUUAAAAGAUUGUAUCAUUUCAAUAACCAUUUUUUAUAUCUUCAUCAUAAAAAUAAAAUAAAAUAAAAAUGUCAUACAUCUUCCUAUAUAUCAUAACCAUCAUGCAUUCAAAGUCGUACAUAUCAUAAAUUGCAUUUUUCAGCAGUAUCAUUCAUUCAAGAAAAAAUAAAAUUACAUGCAUUCCCACCUCUCAUGCAUCAUGAAAAGGUUUGCAUCCUUGCACCAUCCAUACAUCCAAACAUAUGCAUAAUCAUACGCGUUCCUUGCAUUUCAUGCAUCAUUUUAAGUUAUAGGUUGCAUAUCAAUUCAAGUAACAUGAUAAAAAAUUCAGUUCAUACAUCAAUAAGAAAUCAUUCUUUUUGCAUGCCUCAUGGUCGCCAACUGCGGGUCAAAACGUCUUACUAUAUCGAUCCUCCAAAUGAUUCAAAAUGCAUUAACAUCACUAUAUCAAGUUCAUGCAUGUCAUGCAAUUAUAUAUUCAUCAAAAUAUACAUCAUUAAAACAUUCAUAAAAUAAAAUUAAAAAAAUCAUUCAUAUAUACAUGCAUAAUUCAUACAUUCAUCAAAAUAUACAUCAUUCCAAAUGUUAUAUCAUUCAAACAUUCGUCCAUUCAUAUAAUGAGUCAAAAGCCAAAAUAUCAUUCACUCAUUCGUUCAUCGAUUGAUAUAUAAAUUCAUAAAAUGAAAAAUUUGUAAAUCAUUCAUUCACACCUUCAUACAUACAUUUAUAAAAUCAAAACGCAAAAAAUAAAAUUUCAUCAUUCAAAUCUUCAUCAAAAAACAAAAAAAAUAUCAUGCAUCAUUCAAUCAUUCAAAAAAUAAACAUUCCAAAAUUCAUACAAGAAAUCUAACAUUCAUUCAUCUAAUCAUAAAUAUCAUCUAUCCAUGCAUGGAUUCAUCAUAAAAAUCGAAAAAAUCACUCAGACAUUACAUUUCAUGCACUAUCACAUAUUGCAUUCCAUACAUCAUACAUUAUCUAAGAAGUAAAAAUAAAGUGAUGAUUCAUGCACCUUCAUCACUGACUAAAAAACAAAGCAAAAAAUCAUUUCACCAUUGCAUUUUCAUGCAAUAGCAUACCAUUCAUUUCAAUACACAAUCGCAUACACCACCAAAUCCAUGCUCCAAAGCUUCAUACCCAUAUCAAAAUUCAUAUUCAUACAACACCUUUCAAUACCAUACACCCUCACAACUCCCAAAACACCGUCCUAACACAAACAAAAUAGAUGUUCCUCAACAAACCCAAAACAAGUCACAUCAUGAUUGCUUCGAAGCACCCUUAUAACAAUCGUCUUCGAUCAAGACUCAUGGCAUAAUCAAAUCUAGAGAAUCAAGUCAGAGUUGACAGGCCUCAAGGAACUCAUGAGUCAGAACAUAUUUUGAAACCCCUACUGCUCUCUCCACAGCUUAGCAUCAUCAAACAACGGAAUCCCAUGUCUCCAUUUAAAGAAUAAAGUUGAUUUUCGAGUGCAUAUCUUUUUCAGAAGAAUAUACUAAUGCAUUGAUCAUGCGAAUUUAUCAUCUCAUACCUCAUACCACAAAUCUCAUUCCAACAACAACAAAAAUGAAAAAAUCAAAUAAAAUUAAUUAAUGCAUUAAUGUGAGAUAUUUGAUUCAAUAACUUUAAUGAAAUAAAGGAUGAUGCAAAUGUAAGACCCAAAAUGGUGCAAAUCCUAAUGCAAAUCUUUCUGAUGACACAAGGCAUCUUUGAAAAUCCUAAACACUAAGAAGAUAUCCCUAGUCACCCCAUUUGAGCCAUAGACUUCAUGAAAGGAGAUUUUGUCUAAGUUACCCAUAAAUAUCAAUAACCUUGGGCAGGGUAGUUUCUCAACUGUUUUCCUUGGCAUUCAAUCACUAAGAAACAAAUACACUCUACCUCUACCGUUUCCAAAUCUAACCCGAGGGUUAAAAAUCCUAAGCAAUUCAAAUAAAGAAGUUCAUCGGUCAAAGUGCGGAAUAACAUAAAAAAAACAAAGGAAGAAUAUACAAAAGACCCGCUGAGAACCCUCAAUAAAAAUCUCAGGGAAAAGUUAGGGCCAAUAAAGUGCACUAUCAAUGACCACAAAAAGGAACAAUUCAAAUACCUCUCGGGAAGAUUAUCGCCUAAAUAUUAGGCCCUUACCUAUUACAUCAUAAAAAUCCAACAAAAUCUUAGUACUUGAAUGUCAUGUCAGAAAAUCGUUGAAAAUAGGACAAUGGAGAAAGGAAGAUGUAGAAAGGGGUUUGGGAAACACAUUUUUGAGCCUUAUCCUUUUUUCUUGAAAACCCUUAGCCAAGCCACGAUACAAGCUCAAAAGACCUUGUCGAAGAUAUGAUUUGCCUAAGAAAUGUACUAGGGCAGAGAAACGCUGACUCCCAUAAAAUUCAAAAUUUUGAUAAAAAUAUCUCAUCUUUAAUCUAUCGGAUUAAAUUUCAUCCUUCAUCAUCACCACCUUUAAAUCAACACGCAAAAAUCAAAUUUGCAUGACCAUUGCUUUUAGUAUUUCUUUUUAAAAGAGUUGCGCAUGGAAACACAUUUGACAAGUGAAAAUCAGAAGAACGAUUCUCAAUCCAAACUGGGGCAGUUUUUGGAGGCUGACCUCAUUUCUCGAAAAAAGGUACCCAUAAACCUAUAACUUGGGGCAAGGCUGAAGUUGCUCAUCAUGGAUCAGUCCAAAAUCUUCUACCAAGCAGAGGCAAGAUCUUGCAUCCUCGCCUUCAAAUUUCAAGGGUGACUCAUGUUUUUAUGCAGUUAUGACUGUCACUUGAGGGUGUUCAAAUAUAGUCAAAAUAAAAAACAAGCAAAAAAGAAGAAAAAAAGAGUGUUAGGUUGAAAACCCGGAAGGGCGACCUAAGAAAAAGGAGAGCAGUGCUAAGUCGAAAACCUUCAAUGGCAACUUAGUGUCAUAAUAAAAAGAGAGAAUUCCCGACAGGUACCUACACUAGGUAUUUUGGGCAAAAAUUAGGGAAAAUAAACGAACACCCUCAAGUGAAAAUCACUAUUGUUCAUCCUCAAUCAUGCAAACUGGGGCAAUUUAUUGGAUAAUCAUGCUCUUCCAAUAAAUUAUUGACAAGAUACUGUGACAGUUUAUUGGACGAUCAGACUCUUCCAAUAAACUCUUGACAAGACACUGGGGCAUUUAAUUGAUUUGCCUACCGUAAACUGAAGCAAUUCCUUGAAGGAUCAAAGUCAUAUAAGAGAGCAAGCAAAUCAUCAACAAAUUUGUCAACUAAAGCCAGUCGUAAAAGGGUUGUGAAAUUGAAAAGUUUUAAGGGUGCAGAAAAGCAAUUUUGAAGACAAAUAAACAAUAAAAUUCAAAAUUCAUUGUUCCAAAACCCAAUACAUCACUACGUCAUGCAAACUAAACCAAAUUUCAUACAUCACUCAUGACAUACAUACAACAUAACUAUACCUAUCAAUGCAUAGUCACAUUCAUAUACCAAUCAUUAUAGCAAAAACAAAAAUAAAAAACAUAGCAUAAUUAAUCUUUGCAUAUAACCAAACAUUCAAACAUGCAUCUUCAUAUUAUUCUUUUAAUAAGCACAAACGAACAAACAAAAUCGUGCAUUGCAUAUAAACCAAGCAUUCAAACAUGCAUUGCAUUGCAUAUAACCAAACAUUCAAACAUGCAUCACUACAUCAUUUCUCUAAUAAAAAACAUAAAACAAACAAAACACUACAUCUUAACAUACAUUUCUAAAAAAUGUCUACAUUAACAAUCGGUCUACAACAUUACAUUCUACAAGUGAAUUUUUUAACUUCACACCAAAACCUCCGUUUUGGCAGCAUGGGUGCCUCAACAAAUCCCUGGUCCAUCACGGCAAAAUCGGGAACUGCCUCAACAANNNNNNNNNNNNNNNNNNNNNNNNNNNNNNNNNNNNNNNNNNNNNNNNNNNNNNNNNNNNNNNNNNNNNNNNNNNNNNNNNNNNNNNNNNNNNNNNNNNNGGCAAAAUCGGGAACUGCCUCAACAAAUCCCUGGUCCAUCACGGCAAAUUCGGGAACUGCCUCAACAAAUCCCUGGUCCAUCACGGCAAAUUCGGGAACUGCCUCAACAAAUCCCUGGUCCCUCACUGCAAAUUCGGGAACUGCCUCAACAAAUCCCUGGUUCAUCACGGCAAAUUCGGGAACUGCCUCAACAAAUCCCUGAAUCAUUCCGGCAAUACACCGACCUGCGUCUUUGGUUUCACCCUUAUCACUCUAAAUUCCAGCAAUACACCAACCCGAGUCUUUAGUUUCACCCUUGUCACCCCAAGUUCUAGUAAUACACCGACUUGUGUUCUUGGUCCAUAACCUUGUGUCGUCCAAAUUCCGGCAAUACCCGACCUGCGUUCUCGCUUAUCUUAUCGAAUUCCAGUAGUACCCGACCUGCAUUCUCAUGUUUACUUUUUAGUGUCUCAAAUUCUAGCCUUGUCUUAUUUUUGAGAUUAUGUGGUGAUUGCUGCUUUCGCCUAUUUCAACAAAAUUGGCGUUCAUUUCUUUACUAAUUACUUACUACGAUAGCAACACUCAAACAUCAGUUUGCUUGCUAUCUAGUAAGCAACAAGUAAAGAGAGGCAGCUGUGAACACCCAAUUUUGUCCUACCUUUACUUUUCAUAGUUGGUGCAAAAAUCAAUAAAGAUAAAACACCAUUUCAUGAUUUGUGAGAGCAAUUGGGUAAUUAAAUUAUAAAUUUAUAUGGUUCAUAAGUUGAUAUUAACAAAAUACCCAAUUUCUCGAGUUACAUAAUAUCAUGGUGCCUAAACGUUUUUUUACGAGGACCCAUCCUCACUUACCAACUUGAACUUGCAUCGGAAGGUUCCCCAUCAAUAAUGAAGAAAUGCGAAUUCUAAAUACAUCCCUAAAUAUGAAGAGUUGUUCCUUUAAAUUGAGUAAAAGACUUAGUUUGAUACACUCUAGUGUGUCCAAUCUGGUUAACCAAGUAAAUAUGGAAAGUGUGCAAGACCAAAGCUUGCGUUCGGUUCUGUCUAUUGACACCAAGCCUAGGCUAGAAGGGACUUCAUGAUCAUUUAAUGGAAUGCUCAAAACCCAUACUAGUUGUUCAGGAAUCUUUUUGAAUCAAAGCAAGCUAACAUGUGUGAUGCUUUAGAGAAAUAUUUUUGCACAAUGCAAUGUUGCAUGAAUCACGAGUGAUGAAAGCUUUCUUCAUUUCCUCGUCUGGUUAUAUAUUGGACUUUGUGAUGCUUUAUUCAUUGAAGUAUCUAUUAUUCCUUGCACUAAUGAUAACAUUGAGCAACAAACCUGGAUUAUUAAUGAGAUUAGAUUGUUAUACAUGGUAGCUGCUGCAGUUCCGCUUUUAUAUGCAAUUUGCAUGUACAAGGAUUAUGAAAUAUUAAACCAUAGGAUGCUGCUAACUCUAAUGGACAGAAUAAGCAAUAUGAAAAUGCAAAAUGGAGCAUGGCUAUAUGGAUUAAUUCAAGUGACAUCAAGUGACCCUGAACCCUUUGCUUAUGACUUUGACAGAAGCAUUAUUCUGAAUGAUUGGUAUCACCAGAGUACUAAUGAAUAAACCAUUGGAUUGUCUUCAAAUCCUUUUGUAUGGUUGAGGAGACCACAGUCAUAUGAUUACAUCUGAAAAGGAUAAGAUAAAGCCAAAGUAUCCCCUGUUAGUUACACAUUCUUAACAUAAAUGGCAGUGUUAUAGAGAAAACAAUCAUGAAAUAAUUAAAAGAGAAUCAAAGGGAGUGAUCCAGCCGUGGGGUUAUCAACAGGCAGAAGUUCAAAGGUGGCAGUGUAAAACAUACACCAGAAAUCCUACCUCAUUUCAGUUACGUUUGAGAAAAGUCAGCCAUGAAUGUGCAUAAAAGAGAUGCAUGGUAGUGUUAUUGCUAUAUCAGUUACAGUUAGCAUAAUGGCUAGCAGUUAUUUGGGGCAUCCUAACAGGUGCUCUGAAUCAGCUACAAGACUCAGAACCAGCUAUAAAAGAAGGGCAAUCACGCAUACAAAAAGGAGGCAAAGAUAGAGAACAUAGAGAAUAACAAUUUGAUACAGAGAGUUCACAUUAGCAUAUAACACAACACCAAGCACCUAUAUCCAAAGAGAAACCUACAUACAUUCGAGCAAAAGCUAUCCGAAAAUAGAGUUACAUUACUCAGAGGGGCAUAACAAAAAUCAGAGAUACAACACAGAGCAUACACUCAGAAUACCAGGAUAACCACACAAUCAUUUCUCAUGGAUUGGCUUCUCUAUGCGACGGCGUCCCACUAUCAUAUCAUCACCGAAUCAAUGCAAACCGAAUCAUGCCUAGACCAAGUAGAAAAGUAAAAAGAGAUGAGUGAUAAAAGAUGAAUAGAUUAGGGAGAAAGAUUACCCUUUGCCUCAAACCACCGUGGCAAUAGGUGUUCCCAACCUUGAUUCUGCUUUCAUCGCGAACCACCAUACCGCUUUCAUUCUCCCUCAAUGUACCUAUUUAAUAAAACCAAGCAGCAACCAAAAACCAAUCAAGUAAAAUCGAAAAGUAGAAAAGGAGAUGAAUUCACCUUCAUCGGAACGAAAAGAGGAAGGGAUGUCCCAACCGCGAAUAAACCCCUCACCCGAGAACCGUCACAACCCUAAUAGCAAGCCAUCACCGUCAUGCCAUCCUGUCGUCGUCUCGCCACCACCGUAAAGGCACCUCCGUAGUCGUCGAUUAGAAAGAAGGGAAGAAAAGAGGAAUUAGGGAUAUCUUCCGAAACGAACACGGAGUAAUAAAGAGUAACCAUGCACCCUUUGGCUAAAAUCGGUUUCAUCCGAGAGUGAUUCCCUUUGCUGAGAGCUAUGAGGACGAAGGGGAACAUUGAAGAAGAUGGUGAAGUAUCAGGGACGUGUGGAUUUUAGGCUCAAGCAAGGAAUUAGGGAUUCAAAUCCCUUUUCCUUUAAACUCACGUAUGCCUUGCCUUUUUUCUUCUAGUUAAUCCUUUACCUACUUAGUUAUUAUAUUUCUAAGUAUUUACUUAUGUUCCUAUACUAUAUAUUGCUUAAAUGUUUGUUUUGAUAACUAAAAUAAGGUAGUUAUACUUCCUAUGAUAAAUAAUAAUAAUAUAUUUUUACCUCUGUAAAUCAUAUCAAUAUCUGUUCUAGCAAAAAUUUAAUAAAAUUUAUUUAUCAUAUGUUAAAAGAUAAUAACUACCAAUAAUAACAAUAAUUAGAACAUUUUAUUAGGACAAAAAAGAUUAUUAACAGAAUCACAUGAAAUUUUUUAUAAAUGUUUUUGAUAUAAUUUUGGGAGUUAAUCAAAGAUGGAGAGAAGGUUGCCCCGGAGGUCUCUUUCUUCUCAAAUCAUCUUCGAAAGGUCGUGCUACGCCGCUUCUUUUCAAUCGAUUAAAUCUCAAAAUCGAUUAAAUUAAAAUAACAAAAAUUAACCAAACUAACCAACCAAUUUUCAAUAGAGAACUACGUAAGCCUUGAUUCCCUUAAAAGGGAUACGUAGGACCAGGGUCAAUCUUGUCAGUCAUAACAAUAAAAAACUACUUUUUCUUCUUAAUAAUUGAUUAAUUAAUCAUAUAAUUUAAUAAUAAUGAUAAUAAUAAUAAAGUCAUAUAUUUUAGUGAAGGGUACCGCUUAAGGCGGGCGGGUAGUGUGCUAAUACCUUCCCUACCUUGUAACCGACUCCCGAACCUGGAUAUCAAAAAUCCAAAAGCCCAAGGUAAUUGGGCUUAAAAGAUUUUUAUACAUUUUUAACUAUAAAAUGUAGUGGCGACUCUAAACAAAGUCGUGCAGCCGAAAAUCGGGGCGCGACACUACACAAGUUGCACUAUAUUUAUUUAUCUAGCCACAAAUUAAAGAAAUAUAUGAGCUCCCACUAGUAUCUCGAUAAAGACAUCAUUUGGGUGUAGGUAAAAAAGUAUAUUUGCUUCAAAAAGUUUGUAUUUCUAUGUUUCACAUUUUAUAAUUUGAAAGUUUAAUAAUAAAAUAUCUUUUUGGCCAAACGUACUAAGUGACACAUGAAAUAACACAUUCUGUAGGACAAUAAAUAUGUUUCGGUAGAGUAAAAAUUAAAAAAAUAUUUUAAGAAAAAUAAAAAAAAAUCCAGGAGGGCAGCUGCUUCCACCUGUCCCUUCCAUGCUCCGCCCCUGGUGCUAUUAAAUGAUUGAUACAUUUCCAAAAUAUACUAAGAUUAUUUAACUUUAUAAAGAUUCAUUUGAUAUAUUUUUUUAAGUAAAAUAGUUAUACCAUUUGAAGAGGUAUUCUUUUUCAUACAAAUAUAUUUUUUAAUACUUUUUCUAAUUAGUAAUUAUUAACUAAUAAUAAUAUCUUUUUUUACUAUAACCUUGAUUUUCCCUCUACGGACAUAAAAAUAAGUCAUGUAAUAUAUUAUUAGUUCAAUGGAGCAUGUCUUAUUGUAGUCCCUACUCCUUAAAGAAUGAAAUAUUGCAAUGUAUCAAUGUUAAGAAUACAGGAGAAGUCAAAUAAUAAGUCAAAUAAAAUCAUUGAACUAAUUACUUUAGGACAUCCUCAAUCCAACACCAAGUACUGCAAAACAGAACAAUCACAUAUUGGGAAAUCUUAAUUCAUAAUUCAUAAUAUGGUAUCAAAAUAAAAUUCAUAAUUCAUAAGUUGUUAGCUUUGGGGCAUGAAACAUUGAGGUAAAGUGAGAAUUUGGAAAGUAGUAGUUUAUAAUGAUUGAAUGUUUUUCGGUUUGAGAAUUUCUUUAUAUGGAAUGAGAUUCUUACGGUUGAGGCAUUUAUUUCUCUAGCUGUUACAAAACCUUGUAAAAAUAAUAUGCAUUCAUUUCCUUCACUCAAAUUCCAUGGACAUAGAGUCUUAUUAUAUGCAUACAUACAUGUGAAUAUUUCUGGUCGGACAGAAUUGUCUCCUAUGCGAGGAUACUUGUAUGAAACCAAAUUUUUUUUCCUAAAUGAUUGUCAAGUUCUAAUAAUAGCUUGGAAAGCGUUUGAGGAAUCGUUUGGCUUGCAAAACUAAUAGGUGGUCUAAUGUAAGGGCGAGUAAGACCUGGCCCGACCCAUAGACCCGUCUCAACCUGAUGACUUAGGGAUAGGUCUGACCCGUUCAAAUAAAUAAAAAAGACAAACCCAAUUAAAAGGGACAUACUCGUCAUCCAAAAAUGAUGAGUUUGGGUCUAUGUCUGUGUCACCGGCCCGUCCCUUAUAGUUAUAAGUACCUAUCAACUCAUUAUGUUCAACACACAUAACUCAAAUACAUAUAAAUCCAUGCAACAUAUCCACAUCAAAUGGAUAUAAGUGGUGUGGAUAUUUUUUAAUAGAAAUUGAAAAAAAUGCAUAUAAGGAUCACCAAAUGAAAUAUGAAUAGGGACAUGUGAUCCUCAUCCUUAAUGAUAGAAAUACCCGUGUAUAGUGGAAAUUCAUUAUUACCACUUUACCUUAUAUGCAUUUUUUUAGAUUUCUAUUAAUACCAUUCAACUUUAAAUUAUAUGCAUUUAUUUUGGAAUUGAAAAGUGGUAUAGAGAAGAGGAAGAGCAGGGAUAGAAAAUACAUAUUUUUCACUUGUUUUUAAUGACAAAAAUGAGAUUUCAUUGUAAUCAAAAUGAUAUAUAUGUAAUUGAAAGUUGCAUUUCUCUUUACUUUUUGAAGCACUUGUCUCUUCGUUAAUGGAGAGGAUCCUAACUCCUUCUCUAGUAAGAGAGAGAAGUGAUUAUUUCCUUUAAGUUUUUAGAGUAAAAGUGUAAUUAUAAUUUUUUUAAAAAGACACCGAUGUCAAUAUAUUUUUUUCUUUUGAUAUUUCACACUACUUCCUUCUCUAAUAAUGAAGAUGAGUCUCACUCUAUGGAUAAUGAUAAUUUUAGAAUUAAAAAAUUAUGGAUGUUCAAUUGCUUAAUUACCUCUGAGUCAUGUUUUGACCGUAUAUUGUAGUAUAGAUGAUUUACCAACACCAUAAUUUACCAUGUCAUCACUUACUGACACAUAUUAGAUGUGUGUCAUCACUCAAAACUAAAACCAAAAUUUUGGAAUAAAUAAGAAUUAAAACAAAAAACUACAGUUCCAAUAAUCUAUUGUGUUGUGAACAAUGUACAGCGCAGAGUCCAAAUUGUACUCAUCAAUUAACUAAUACGUGUACGCGUAUGUAUAAAAACCAAGGAAAAUCAUCAACGGAUUAAUGAGUUAUAAUGGUUAAUUCAAAAGCAUUGUCAUAGCCUAAGAAAGAGGCAUACAGAACAACCCGAACCAAAGUUCUUCAUUAGAAUGCGUUUGAAGUUAAGAAUCUUUUAUAUACAAAGGGUCCUGCUUUUCAAAUUCUUUACUUUGAUACUUAAUUCACUUUACCCUGUUCAUAAAUUACAUUGUUUGGAGGUAAGAAGACAUUUAUUCAUGAUGGAGGAAAAUGAACAUGAAUCAUGGAAUUCUCUCUCACGUACACACACGGAUUGUUGCAUGUUGCUAAAUGACCCUUUGUGUUGUGACAAAUAGUUAUUUUUAAUAUUUUUUUAACUUUAUUUUGGCUUGACUUUGUGAUUAAAAAGAUUCAGAUGAGUAGCAUUAGAUUCUAUAAGAUGUACAUAAACAAAUGUGUUUUACGACUGGAACCAUGUAGUGGGUAAGAUUCAAAUUUUACUAGAUAUGACAUGUAAAUUUUGAACUCUAUCUCUGACGUUAAACCGCAAACAACAUUUUCGAAGGUAUAUUAUGUAAACUCGUGUAUUAAAAGACUAUGCACAUCUAUCCAGAUAUAAUGAAUGCUCUAGAAGUUAAUGCCUAGAAAUUUCACUGUAAGCGGUCUUCACUUCCACAUUCACAUAUGUGAGUAUAUAAAAAGUACCCAUGUAGUGUAGGGAUUCCAAUUAUAGUAUAACUCUCAUUGAGAAUUCAUAUUAACUAAAUCUCUCUUUACUUCAUGAAUCAUCCACUUAUACAACAUGUUCAUUUCAUAUCAGUUCAUAACUUAUUAUUACAUAUUGAAUUUAUUUAUCGGGACCUUUAAUUAGUUAAUUAGGAUGAGUUACCAACAAGACUGAUUCAUCUCUCUAAGAGAAAUAGUCUCAAUUUUUUAGAAGUAUUUUCGACUUUCUCUUAUAUGAGUCCUUUCGUUAAAGGAUCUUCUAGAUUCUCAUCAGUUUGUACAUGGUCGACUCUAAUAGAUGUGGUUGAGAGUAACUCUCUAACAAUGUUGUGCUUAUGAUGUAUUUAUCGCUUCUUACAAUUGUCAUAACAAUUCUCAAUUUUUGCAAUAGUCACAAUAAUAUCAUAAUGGAUCAACACAACCGAUAUUUCCCAUAAAGGAAUCUCUGCAAGCAAUCCUCUUAUCCAAAUUACUUAUUCUCUAACAGUUGUUGGUACUAUUAUCUUGUAUUCCAUAGUGGAUUGUGUCAAAAUAGUAUGUUUAUUUGACUUCCAAGAAACAAUCCCUCCUACUAUGUUAAAUAUAUAGUCAUUGGCCGCUUUGGAAUUAUUUAAAAGAGUAUUCCAAUCUACAUCACUAUAUCCUUCAAGGACAGAGGGCACCUUUUAUAAUGAAAAUCAAUGUUUAUGAUUCUCUUGAGGUAUCUUAUGACCCUAUCAAUAACGUAUCAAUACUCUAUAUUUGGUCUAUUGGUAAACCUACACAAUAAUCUCCAGCUAUAGGCAAAGUCGGGUCUAGUGCAAUUAGUGACAUAUUGAAGAUUAUCAAUGAUGUGUUAAAAAAAUUACAAUUUAAUCAUAUGGUUUACUAGCAGGUUUAGAAUUAAGUGAUUAUAUUUCUUUAAGAGACUAAUCCAAAUCAAUUUUAUCUUUAGACCUAGUAAUCUUAAUACCAAGGAUUACACUUGCUUCUUUGAAGCCUUUCACAUCAAAGUUGUUACACAAGUGUGAUUUCACAUUAGUCGCAACAUGAAUGUUACAGCCAAAUAUGAGUAGGUUGUCAAUAUAAAGACAUGAUAAUACAAUUAUCAUUUUCAGACUUGUAAUAAAUGCAUUUGUAACUUUUAUUCACCUUAAACCCAAUAGAGACAAUUAAAUUGUCAACUUUUUCAUGUCACUCCUUAGGAGUUUGCUUAAGACCAUUCAAAAGCAUAUCAAAUAUACAUAUCUUAUUUUCUUGUCCCCGAAUUCAAACUCUUCAAGUUGCUCCAUGUAGAUUUCUUCUUCCAAUUUCAUCAUUUCAAAAAGUGAUUUUAACAUUCAUUUAGUGUACUACUAUAUCAUGUAAAACAACAAGAGAAAUUAGUACCAUGAGGAUCGUAUUCUAGUGACUGGUGAAAAGGAAUUAAAGAAACCUACGUUUUUUUCUGAAACAUUUAUCUACAAGGUGAGUCUUAUAUUUAUCAACUGACCGUCGAGUUUCAUUUUCAUUUUCAAAAUCCAUUUACAACUAAUAGGUUUGCAACUAGGAGGCAAGUCUACUAAAUGUCAGGUCUUGUUAGAUUCCAUUCUUCUCAUUAUUUAUGGCUUUUUGGCAUAAUUCAACAUCCAAUGAUACCAAUACUUCUUGGAGGUUUGUUGGAUCCUCUUGUAAUGUAUAUGUCAAAUAAUCAAGCACAUGCUCCUUAAUAGUUCAUGAUCUUUUACUUCUUCUAGGUUCUAUUUUUAUCUUUUCGUUGUUAAUUAUCACUAUUCCAGAUCACUCGAAUGUGACUUAUUUAAGAGCCUCACUAUUUCUCAAUUUGAAAGGGAAAUUUUUUUCAUAAAAACCGUCAUCGUUAGAUUCUAUGAUCAUUUUUAUGUUCAGGUUGUAGAACUAUUAUGCAUUGUUGUCAAUAGAAUACCCAAUAAAUACACAUUGAUAAGCUUUGCUUGCAAGUUUAAUCUCUUAGGGUAUGGGGAUAUGGUGGAUACUAACCUUAAUGACAUGCAAAUACCAACUGACAUUGCUCUCGAAUGGGGUAUAAGUACUGCAGCAACCACAGGUGAAGCUUCCGAAAAUCAAGACUCUUAACGUUCACCUGUGAAUAGUCUCAUGGAUGACAUCUCAGAUGUUAGUUUUGUGAUUCCAUACACCACAAUGUCCAGUAAUCAUGAUGAAAAUCCAUUACUUGGACAUAUACAUUGUGUAAAACAACCAUUAACGAGACUUCAAGGGUAUGUAACAAACACAAUACAAAAGCUAAGUCAUUUUCCCAGUUCAUCAUCUCCAUCACGUCCUUCAUGUUGUCCCAAUCCCAUUGCUCACUAUAUAAACUGCGAUAAGUUUUCUUUGCCACACAGUCACUUCCUUGCAUCAAUCACUAUAGAAAAAGAGCUCUAAUACUUUCAUGAGCAGUAAAGAAUGCACAAUGGAGAUAGAGCAUGCAAGCUGAAAUCGAUGCACUGGAACAUAAUGAUACAUGGAGCAUGCAUCCAAUUCCUCCAGAGAAGAAAGCUCUCGAAUGCAAAUGGGUGUAUCGCAUCAAGUACAAUUCUAAUGGCACCAUCGAGCGAUUUAAAGCAUGUUUAGUUGUGCUCAGAAAUAAUCAAGAGAAAGACACCAACUACACUGAAACAUUUGCUCUUGUCGCGAAAAUGGUAAUAAUGUUAAUUGUUCUUGCAUUGGCAGCAGCCAAAUCCUGGGAACUUCAUCAAAUGGACGUACACAAUGUAUUUCUACAUUUGUUUGCCUCCUGGUUUUUCCGUUUCCAACAAAAAACAUGGUGUGUAAAAUUUGCAAGUCGUUGUACGACUUAAAGCAAGCUUCGCGUUGUUGGUUCACUAAAUUGUCUCAUGCACUUGUAUCUUAUGGAUUUAAGCAAUCAUGUCUAGAUUAUUCUCUCUUCACCUUGCAUCAAAAGGGGUUCAACUUAUUGUUAUUGUUUAUGUCGACGAUCUAAUCAUUGUCGGUAAGGAUUUCUCAUCCAUCAAAUGGUUUAAAACCUACCUCAAUGAAUGCUUAUACAUGAAAGAUCUUGACACGUUGAAGUAUUUUCUGGGUAUUGAGCUUACUCAUAAUCCUACAGGUAUUUUUCUCUGUCAACAUAAGUACACGCUCAAUAUUUUUCUAAAGUUGGUCUCCUCGGUGCUAAACCUGUAGGCACCCCAUUAGAACAAAAUCAUUGUAUAUCUCUUGCUAUAGGAACUCUUAUUGCCAACCAUGAAUGCUAUCAUCAAUUGGUUGGGUGGUUGAUUUAUCUAUGUUUCACACGUUCAGAGCUUUCAUUCAGUGCUCAGAUGUUAUCUCAGUUCACACAGCAACCACGAAUUGAGCACUCGGAAGUUGCCCUCAGAGUGGUUCAGUUCCUCAAGGGCAAUCUUGGUCAAGGCAUAUUGCUUCCUCACAACUUUGAUCUUCAGCGUCAUGGAUGUUGCGACUUCAAUUAGAGUAGUUGUUCUCUUACACACUGCUCCGUUACUGGUUGGAAGAUCCAAUUUGUUCAAUCCCCUAUCUCUUGGAAAACAAAGAAACAACACAUCAUUUCUCAAUCGUCGGCUGAAGCUGAGUAUUAGUCUAUGGCAACUACUAUAUAUGAGCUCAAGUGGUUAAAAGGUAUUAUGUCCAAUCUUGGCAUCGCUCAUACCAAACCUAUCAUUAUUCAUUGUGAUAAUCAAGUGGCCUUGCACAUUGCUAAAUAUCUGGUAUUUCAUGAACGUACCAAGCAUAUAGUAGUCGAUUGUCAUUUUAUUUGUAAUGAAGUCCUCCACCAUUAUAUUCUUCCAACCUAUGUCUCUACAACUGCUCAACUCAUAGAUAUCUUCACCAAAGCUUUGGGAAAACCACAGUUUGAAUCCUUCUUGGGAAAGUUGGGCAUUCUAAAUCUUCAUGCUCCCACAUGAGGGGGAUAAUGCAGUAAUAACGAACUAAAUCCAUGUAAAUAGAUUUGUUUAGAUUAUUAUUAUCCUAAAAUCAAAUCUUAAUGUUAUAUGUAAAGAGAUUUAUUUAGAUUUUACAAAUAAUUUUAUGUAUAUAAACAAUACAAUAUUGAGAAAUAAAACAUCUGAAUUCAUUCAUUUACAAAUUCAAACAUAAGUCAAACAACCUUAAAUCCAUGAAUGCGCUGAAUUAGGUUGUAUGUUCUUUAAUAUCUCGUAGGGGAUAUUUUGCUCUUUACUUUUGGCAAUCUAUUUAACAUAUAAACUGUUAAUAGUAGUUUGCCUCACCAAGUAGAUACAACACCAAAACUUAACAUGAUAUUUGCAAUUAAUCAAUAAAAGUUCUAUUUUCUUUCGGCUUUACUGUUCAUUUCAAUUGAAUAUGUAUUUUCUUUCAUGAUUCUGUAUAUCUUAUAAAAUUCAUUAAAUUAGACAAGAAUCAUAUCCAAUGUCUCUAUUAUUUCAAGGCUUCUUAAUGUUUUUGUUAAAUUGAUUUUUAAUUUCAAAUGAAUUGACUUUCAUUUUAAGUCAUAUAUAUUUUAAACAUAUUAAGUGCUUUAUUUUUAUUUUUUAUAAGAUAAACACUUGUAUAAUUAAAACAAUCAUCAAUAAAAGUGAUAAAAUAUUAGUUUUCCAAUUUUGGUCAACAUUUCAUCUAAUUCACAUAUAUUAUAGAAUAUCAAAUCUAAUUACUCAUACUUUCUAACUACUAAUUUAUGUGAUUUCUUGCUAACUUUUAAGUUGACUACAAGAAGUACAUUUUCAUGAUCACCAUAGAUAGCUUUGGAAUAAAUCCUAAGCUACUUGGAUUGUUGAGAACAAUUUUGUUGUUCGUGAGGCUAAUUAAGUGGCUGAUUUCAUGGUUAGACUUAGAUCUCAUGCUUCGAAAUGUUCAAGAUCUGGGACAUUGCUCUGUCUGGUUGUCAACUUUAUCUUGCUCAAGGUCUCUCUCGUGCAAUCUAGUUUUCUUUGUGUUUGCUAUUUUGUUUUCUGAUGGACCAAAAAAAUCAUAAGCUACUUAUGUUGGAAAUUAUAUGUUUAUUUACAUGAUCGUCUAGUAUGCCAAACAUCAAAAUCACACACCAUAUUAAAAUAAGGAGAAAAUUUAUUUAUCAAUGUUUAAUUUAAUCAUGUCAUCAAUGGCAUAUCAUUUCCCUACAAAUAUCUCAUUCCUAGUAAGAUUAUACAAUUCUACUUGUUUGGUUUGGAUGAACCCAACCUUGUUUAGAAGAAAGCUAAAAACUAGAUUUUCCCUCAUAUAUGGAGUAACAUCUUUGAGAAUCAAAGUAUUUUCAUAAGUAAAUUUCAACUCCACAUCUUCAGUUCCAGCAAUAUUAGUAAUAUGGGAGUCACCAAACAACACUUUCUUAUCUUUAGCUAUUGCUUAUGUUUUAAACAUAGCACAAUCAUAAUUGACAUGGUGGGAGGCACUAGUAUGUACUCACACCCUUCUAAUCCUCAAAUCAUAUUGACCUCAUAUAUCACAAACACAAAUAGUUCUUCGGUCAUGUUCGCUUGUGGAGGACCACUAAUUGGCUUUUCAUCCACUUGUGUGUCAUAUGACAUAGCUUGCCACAUUUAUAAUAGACGAAUGAUUCACUAGAGCCCUCUCAGAGGUGUUUGUUGUCUUG